CACCCCUCGAGCCGCUUUUAGUGGAUCGGUGUUGGGGCACUACGGUAAAACGUAGGCCCUGAAAUGAAGUGGCGGUCCCGCCGCGGUGCCCCCAUGCGUAGUAACGUUUAGUCUCGCAUCGGGUCCCGGCGGAGGCCUGCCGUCAAGCCUAUUUAUUCUCAGAAUA
rnacentral:misc_RNA from 1 species